CGGUCGGGAGCCCCCUUUGGGACGGGGGCAGGAAUAGACCGAACAUCUCUGUUUCGUCAGGGCACUUCCACCGGCGCCCACCGGAGGCUGUG
rfam:Celeribacter baekdonensis B30 contig23, whole genome shotgun sequence.